UUCUCUUCCCUCUUGUUUCGUUUUCCUUCUCUCUCUCUGAUUCACUCAUUUCCUAUAAGCAAGAACAAAUUAUCUUUCAUUCACUCAUAGCUUCUCGUCACUCCUUCUUCAUCUUUGUACAGUGCCACCCUCUCAUGCUAUUUUCGGUCACUCCGCCUGUCUCGGCUGCGACGCCAUAUUCAUCUCCUUGUUUUCAUACCCAGUUUUGGUGUGCCAAUUGCACCCACAAUUGAAAAUUUGUGGAUAGUUCAAAUGCUGUUUUGGAUUGUGGUAGUAUUGAUGAUGGACAGCUCUAAUAGUUUUUGGACAAAAGCACAUGCACUCAUUGCUAAGUAGAUGAAGUGACCCUUUUGUGUAUACAACCAGACUUUUAUAACUAUGAUAUUGUGUUUUUUGGUGGCCAAAUCAUGGUGACAAAGGUCAACACAUGACUAUGAAUUUUUUAUUUUUUUUGGGAAAACAUGUUUGUAAAGUUAACAUUAGGUACAAUGCUAGUUAACUUAUGUAAUUUAAUGUUUGUAAAGUUAACAUAAGGUUUAACUUAUGUAAUUUAAGUUCUAUUUUGUGAUGUAGUUAAUCAACCAUGUAAAUGGUAUGGUUUUGGAAAUUGUAAAUGGUGUGGUUGUAAUGGAAAAAUUAGUGAAUAAUAUAAGGUAGCAAUGUUAUU
rnacentral:lncRNA from 1 species